CCAGCGGGUGGACCUGGCCACUCCGACAGACCGACAGCGUGGUGCUGCCGUCACAGCCCUGCCGGCUCACGGGAGGCUGUCGCAGGCUCCUUGCAUCCAGCGUCUACCAUCAUCUGCCUCCAGACAGUGGGGAAAAGUGAGAACAUGAGAUUUCCAAUGUUCUACAGUGAUUGAUCUACAAAACCAUCAGUGUGACAUGACAGCAUCACCAGGGGCUGACGGAGAUCUGCGUACCCAGGACCCGCCCAGCUCACGCAGGCCUGACAGAGAAGUCCAGCAUGUGAGGGCCCCGAGUUCACUCUUGUCUCGUGAAGAAGCACUGAAGAAUCUGUGCCCCUGCCGAGUCCGGAUGAGAUGCCCAGUAACCUGACUGGACCUCCCUUGACCAGGCUUCUCCCUCCCAGACCCUGAACCCACCCUCCCUGAGCCCUGGAGUGAACACAGCCCCACUGUGUUGCUGGACGGCUGACCCCACGUAAAACGUCCUCUGACCUCCCGCCCGUCAGGCUCCUCUGCUGCCCACACGGUUCUGUCCAGCCCCGCUCGCUCCCCAGAGAACAGCCCCUGCUGCCCAGGCUGGAGACACUCCCGGGUCUCGGGGUUGGACCUUCCCAGCGCUGCGCUCAGUGCUGGCUGUCGGGCUCUCCUUGCGUGGUGUGGGUUGAACUGCAUUCCACUAAAAUCCGUGUGUUGGAGUCCUCAGAAUAUGACCUUAUUUGGAAACGAGGUCGUUGGGGAGGGACGUAAUUAGCUAAGACAGGCCGUGCUGGAACGGGACGGGCCCCAGUGCAGUAGUACUUUUGAGUAAAGUCCCCCCUUACUUCAGUCCAGUUUGUUUUCUUAUUUGGCACCACAAUACCUAUCUGUGCCCUGUUUAUCUUCUGGGAGCGUGUAAGAAGCAACAAGAUAAUGUGUGCAACACACUUUACAAGUGAUACAGCACACACUUGAGCUUUUUCCAUCUUACAGUGACUAACUGGCUUCAAAACUUCCUAUUCUCCCUCAGAGCUGUACAGAGUCAUGCAGGAUGGGGGCAGCAGGUGGCACCAGAGGUUUCCCUUUGACAGACUGUCCUCGAGGAACCAGGGGUUCUCAAUUGCACGACAAAGAUGUUCCCCGUCUACGCCGGCGCUGGUCUGAGUGAGGGUUCCAGGCCAGUGUUCUGACCAGGAUGGGAACACAGAGGAUGAGGUUGUGGAAACACGUGGAUGCUGUCACUGCGUCGACUGAAAAGAUUUGGAGGGUCCCUUCUGAAGUUAACAAAGCCACGUUUCAAAUGGCUCUUGCUGGGACCCCAAGUUCUAGUGCAUGGUGACAAGCUGGGAAAGUCACAUGUCGAGGACGACAUCUGUGACGACACAGGAGGAGGAGGACCCUGGGAGUCACAGCGGGGUCAGACGGGUCUCAGCACACGGCUCCACGCAGAUCGGCCGCCACAUGUGGGCUGCGCUCUCUGCAGAUGGAACAGAGAGGCUGGACUGCAGCAGUUCAUGCUUGCCCCAGGUGAACGUGUUAAAGACGUCACUACUGUCGUCUUUAUCCUGCGCUUUCCAACCACGCGUGCUUCUGUGUUCUGUGAUCCAAGCUUGCAACCUUCCUUGACUUCUUCCUUUGUUUCCUUCGUAGGUUUUCUUCAAGUCACCAACUUCCGUCAGUUCUGGAGCAGCCUCUCCCCACCCCAUCUCCCCGGCGUUGCUCAGUCCUGCUCCUUCCCUGUCACUCUCACUGUCACUGUCUCCAAGUCCAGUGACGGCCACAUAGUUCCUCUGUCGGUUUAUUCUUUCAGUCAUCAAUGUUCUUUUUUCUCCACAGGAUCAAAUCCGUAGGGCCCCCGAAAUUUGGCAAUGCCCCACCCUCCUCCUAGUCUUCAGUACCAAUAUCCCAAACAACACGUGCAUGGUCUUUCUCAUCGUAAAUCUUGGUCAUGGAGCUUCCCCGAAAUGAGAUCCCCUCCUCUCUCAUAUGUACUAAAGUGAACUGGCCUCGAGGCUCAGCUGCUUUCCACCUGCUAACGGAGAAAUCUCUGAUCGUGGCAGCACCAGCGUCUCGUGCACGGGAAGCAAGGCCGCUUCGAACACACCUCAUUCAGCGCCCAGGCUGCCUGCUCCUGCCCUGGCCCGUGGCUCUCCCUGAGAACAGGACUUCCCACUGGGAGGCAGGAGUUUCUGGACUGUGGGUCCCACGUUCCUGCGUAGAGAUGAAAUGCUGAGUGAUCAGAACCGCGUGUCCCCUGUGCUCAGCUUCUAAAUCAAGAGCCAGAGGAAGAUGGGGGAUGCGACACCUGAAAGUCCCCGAGGUCAUUUGGGGCCAGCGUCUCACAUCGGGUUCCAGAAUCAACAAGUCGGUGUGCUAGGGUUUACUCUCCAUCUGUUUUCUUAGAAAAAACAGUCAGACGCUUCGUUCCAACAGGACUCCCUCCCGCUGACUCUGUGACGUUAACUGUAGAAACAGCCACGACGUUGAAAGGUUUGAAGACUCAGACCCACACGGCUAAAGAAAAGGAAAGGACAGUUUUCUUUGGUUUUAUUGCUAAAUACGCUUAUACGUAUGACACAAUCACACGAUUCUACACAACACACUUACACAACAGAUAAUUAACACACCAUGAGAAGGCCAAACAAACCGUAGAUAUGAGGUAUCGUUUCUAAGUUCCCCAAUUUUAUGAAGCAAAACAUAUUGACCUACAGCCAAAAUUAUCAUUUGAACAGUCAGCUAAACACACCGUUUAAGAAAAGGAUUAUAAAGCUCUUUGUACUCAUAAAUAAUCAAAUCCAAUCUCACAGUAUAAAAGAGUUUUAGUAGUUGUGAAAUAAUAUAAAAAUGUGAAGUUGUGGCUUUUUAAAGUUCGAUUCACCUACAAUAGCACGUAUACUGUGUCGGUGACGGAUAUUUGAGAUUUAAAGUAUUGGUAACACAGACAUAAUCAGACUUAAACAUUUUAAUGUUUUGUGGUACUUUUCACCCAGAUAGUAACUCACUACUUUGUGAUUAUUAGUAUAAAUAACGAGGUGUAUCCUGUGUAUUUCGUUCUUGUAAUAAACGUUCGCUGAAUGCUGUUGCCCACCUCGUAUAUUCACCGGAACCUUCCUUUCAGGAAAGGACGGUGGGAAACCAAGAGGGCCGUGAGCUGAUUACAGGCCCAGAUGUGUGCCACGGCCUGGAGCUGCAGGCUGUCACUGUUCCUUAAUUAGGCUGACAGAAACCUCACACCCGUGUUGGCCGGAAAACAGACUCAUUCACAUAACACUACACUGAGACAAAGGCAAAUACUUCAAUACAUAAUUCAGUAGGUUCUAAAAUUGUUAGUGGAAACAAGCUGAAAACCCUCAAAACUCGCAACACGUAAGGAAACGUGCUCUUGAGGUAAGGU
ensembl:lncRNA